rnacentral:rRNA from 1 species
AACGAACGCUGGCGGCAUGCCUAACACAUGCAAGUCGAACGAUACCUUCGGGUCUAGUGGCGCACGGGUGCGUAACGCGUGGGAACCUGCCCUUAGGUUCGGAAUAACUCCCCGAAAGGGGUGCUAAUACCGGAUAAUGUCUUCGGACCAAAGAUUUAUCGCCUUUGGAUGGGCCCGCGUUGGAUUAGCUAGUUGGUAGGGUAAAAGCCUACCAAGGCGACGAUCCAUAGCUGGUCUGAGAGGAUGAUCAGCCACACUGGGACUGAGACACGGCCCAGACUCCUACGGGAGGCAGCAGUGGGGACUAUUGGACAACGGGCGAAAGCCUGAGCCAGCAAUGCCGCGUGAGUGAUGAAGGCCUUAGGGUUGUAAAGCUCUUUUACCCGGGAUGAUAAUGACAGUACCGGGAGAAUAAGCUCCGGCUAACUCCGUG